GUGUCAGCAGCCGCGGUAAUACGGAGGGUGCAAGCAUUAAUCGGAAUUAUUGGGCGUAAAGGGCGCGUAGGCGGAUUUGUAAGUCAGAUGUGAAAUUCCGAAGCUCAACUUCGGAGCUGCAUUUGAAACUGUGAGUCUAGAGGGAUGGCGGAGAAAAUGGAAUUCCACGUGUAGCGGUGAAAUGCGUAGAUAUGUGGAAGAACACCGGUGGCGAAGGCGAUUUUCUAGCUUUUACCUGACGCUGAGGCGCGAGAGCAAGGGGAGCAAACAGGAUUAGAUACCCUGGUAGUCCUUGCCGUAAACGAUGUAUACUUGAUGUAGUUGGGCUCAACCCUGACUGUGUCGAAGCUAACGCGAUAAGUAUACCGCCUGGGGAGUACGCUCGCAAGGGUGAA
rnacentral:rRNA from 1 species